rnacentral:rRNA from 1 species
UACGUAGGGUGCGAGCGUUAAUCGGAAUUACUGGGCGUAAAGCGUGCGCAGGCGGUUUUGUAAGCCAGAUGUGAAAGCCCCGGGCUUAACCUGGGAAUGGCAUUUGGGACUGCAAGGCUUGAGUGCGGCAGAGGAGACUGGAAUUCCUGGUGUAGCAGUGAAAUGCGCAGAUAUCAGGAGGAACACCAAUAGCGAAGGCAGCUCGCUGGGACGGUACUGACGCUGAGACGCGAAAGCGUGGGGAGCAAACGGG